rnacentral:rRNA from 1 species
GGCUCAGGAUGAACGCUAGCUACAGGCUUAACACAUGCAAGUCGAGGGAAACGAUAGAGAAAGCUUGCUUUUUCUAGGCGUCGACCGGCGCACGGGUGAGUAACGCGUAUCCAACCUGCCCAUCACUUGGGGAUAACCUGCGAAAGUAAGACUAAUACCCAAUGACGUCUCUAGAAGACAUCUGAAGGAGAUUAAAGAUUUAUCGGUGAUGGAUGGGGAUGCGUCUGAUUAGCUUGUUGGCGGGGUAACGGCCCACCAAGGCGACGAUCAGUAGGGGUUCUGAGAGGAAGGUCCCCCACAUUGGAACUGAGACACGGUCCAAACUCCUACGGGAGGCAGCAGUGAGGAAUAUUGGUCAAUGGACGAGAGUCUGAACCAGCCAAGUAGCGUGCAGGAUGACGGCCCUAUGGGUUGUAAACUGCUUUUAUAAGGGAAUAAAGUGAGUCUCGUGAGACUUUUUGCAUGUACCUUAUGAAUAAGGACCGGCUAAUUCCGUG